AUCUAUAGCCAUAUCACCAUGAAUGUGCCCUAUCUCAUCUGUUUUUGUGAAUGUAAGCAGGGUCAGGUCUGGUUAGUGCUUGGAUGGGAGACCUCAUGGGAACGCUGGGUGCUAUAGGCU
rnacentral:rRNA from 1 species